UACGUAGGGUGCGAGCGUUAAUCGGAAUUACUGGGCGUAAAGCGUGCGCAGGCGGUUCGCUGUGUCCGAUGUGAAAGCCCCGGGCUCAACCUGGGAAUGGCAUGGGAAACUGGCGGGCUGGAGUGUGGCAGAGGGGGGUGGAAUUCCGCGUGUAGCAGUGAAAUGCGUAGAUAUUGACAGGAACACCAGUGGCGCAAGCGGCUAUCUGGACCAACAUUGACGCUGAGGCACGAAAGCGUGGGGAUCAAACAGG
rnacentral:rRNA from 1 species